rnacentral:rRNA from 1 species
GACGAACGCUGGCGGCGUGCUUAACACAUGCAAGUCGAACGAAGUGGCGAACGGGUGAGUAACGCGUAAUCAACCUGCCCUUCAGAGGGGGAUAACAGUUGGAAACGACUGCUAAUACCGCAUACUGAAGGAGGGGAUUGCGUCUGAUUAGCUGGUUGGAGGGGUAACGGCCCACCAAGGCGAUGAUACGUAGCCGGUCUGUGAGGAGGACCGGCAACAUUGGGACUGAGACACGGCCCAGACUCCGACGGGAGUGAGCAGUGGGGAAUCGUCCGCAAUGGACGAAAGUCUGACGGAGCAACGCGGCGUGAGUGAUGACGGCCUUCGGGUUGUAAAGCUCUGUUAAUCGGGACGCGGUACCGGAAUAGAAAGCCACGGCUAACUACGUGCCAGCAGCCGCGGUAAUUC